rnacentral:rRNA from 1 species
UGGGGAAUUUUGGACAAUGGGCGAAAGCCUGAUCCAGCCAUGCCGCGUGCAGGAUGAAGGCCUUCGGGUUGUAAACUGCUUUUGUACGGAACGAAAAGACUCUGGUUAAUACCUGGGGUCCAUGACGGUACCGUAAGAAUAAGCACCGGCUAACUACGUGCCAGCAGCCGCGGUAAUACGUAGGGUGCAAGCGUUAAUCGGAAUUACUGGGCGUAAAGCGUGCGCAGGCGGUUAUAUAAGACAGAUGUGAAAUCCCCGGGCUCAACCUGGGAACUGCAUUUGUGACUGUAUAGCUAGAGUACGGCAGAGGGGGAUGGAAUUCCGCGUGUAGCAGUGAAAUGCGUAGAUAUGCGGAGGAACACCGAUGGCGAAGGCAAUCCCCUGGGCCUGUACUGACGCUCAUGCACGAAAAGCGUGGGGGAGCAAACAGGAUUAGAUACCCUGGUAGUCCACGCCCUAAACGAUGUCAACUGGUUGUUGGGUCUUCACUGACUCAGUAACAAAGCUAAACGCGUGAAGUUGACCGCGCUGGGGAGUACGGCCGCAAGGUUGAAACUUAAAAUGAAUUGACGGGGGUCAUAGCUGUUUCCU